CGCGAGCAUUUUAAUCACCCGCUCAGCGCUUUCAUUUUAGUUUCGUCACUCGUUUCCGUAUCGGUCACUAUUUUCGGCUCUCAAUUUGGUUGCUGUAUUCCGUACCGGUGACGUUUGACAUUUGAAAGUUCAUCAAAUAGCAGCGCUCUUAUCGCGCUACCAAAUUUGGUCACCUGUCAGUCGCGCUACUGUUAUAGCAACGCGUUUAGUAGCGACCGGUAAAGUGUCAAGUAAUGAUACUGCGCUGCCAAACGGCUCAAACUCACCACCGAUUAUGCUAGACAGCAGCCAUUGAAGAUGUGUAUGGAUGACAACAGGUUUUCGUACGGUUUGGAGAGAUUCAGCCAUGAAAACACUCAGUGGAACUUGUACGGAACAUGGACGAGUAGGGCCACCGAAUCAGAACAGCAUUAUAUUUAGCUAUACGGCUAGGAAUCCAGGUAUGCAAGCACAAGUCUUUCGCAGCAUACCUAUUCCGUUAGAUGUUAUGCCACACAUUUUCCGAGUCAUAUCAGAGCUUAAUAAGCUACCAACAAAAAAGCUAUUGAUGAAUAAAGG